GACGAACGCUGGCGGCGUGCUUAACACAUGCAAGUCGAACGGUAAGGCCCUUCGGGGUACACGAGUGGCGAACGGGUGAGUAACACGUGGGUGAUCUGCCCUGCACUUCGGGAUAAGCCUGGGAAACUGGGUCUAAUACCGGAUAGGACUCCGGACUGCAUGGUCUGGGGUGGAAAGCUUUUGCGGUGUGGGAUGGGCCCGCGGCCUAUCAGCUUGUUGGUGGGGUGAUGGCCUACCAAGGCGACGGCGGGUAGCCGGCCUGAGAGGGUGACCGGCCACACUGGGACUGAGAUACGGCCCAGGCUCCUACGGGAGGCAGCAGUGGGGAAUAUUGCACAAUGGGCGCAAGCCUGAUGCAGCGACGCCGCGUGAGGGAUGACGGCCUUCGGGUUGUAAACCUCUUUCAGCAUCGACGAAGCGAAAGUGACGGUAGGUGCAGAAGAAGGACCGGCCAACUACGUGCCAGCAGCCGCAGUAA
rnacentral:rRNA from 1 species